AGUAGCUGACGAGUCCCAAAUAGGACGAAAUACACAUUCUGAAU
rnacentral:hammerhead_ribozyme from 1 species